GAAUCCAGGCCUGAGCGGAUUCACGCAUGACGUCUCCCUGGACACAGGGAUGGGUUCACAAAGGGGUUGGAGUCACUGAGAUGUGAGGAGAAGUCUGCUGGCAGCUUCUGGGACAUUACACCCUGGUGCUGAAGAGAUCGCUGCCGGAAGAGGCUGUCUUCCUGGGCAUGUUGUCAGCCGGGGGCGGGCCGACCCAGCACGCAGGAGGCUUGCACCGCAAAGCCUUCUCGCUGAACCAGGCAGCAGAUCCAUCCCACGGGGCUUCCUCCCACGUGAGAAACGUAGGAAAAGACGCUGCAAAUCAAAGACGACCACCCUGGAGAAGCAGGAGAAACUCCCCAACUUGAGUGAAUGUAUCAACAUUUCAGAAAAUGUAGGAGGUGGAUGUUACUGUUUAAUCUGCUCAGCAUCCUUCCCCCACCCCUUUUGAUAACUGGCCUCAUCCACUGGACACACUUCUUGGAAUGAGACCCGGGCUAGGCCAAUCAGCCUCUCCCUGAAGUGUUUCCCUGAAGCUGGAAGAGAGGAACUCUGUUCCCUCUUGGAUUACAGAGCUGAAAGGAGAUGAAUUUGAUGCUACUAGUGUUCAUGUUUCUAACCAAGGGAGAUGGGGCCUAGCAAGCCUUAAUGGUCUUCAUAUAUUUUCCAUCAGACCUUUUAAGCUUCCCCCAUGGUGACCAGCCCCAGAGUAAUGCACAUUUAAUUCAACUUUCAAUGCAGGAAAAUCAAUUGCAUUGCA